CCCCGGUGGCGAAAGCACCGGCUCGGUGCUGGUUUGAGGCGGGCGAGUGAUACAACUUGAGACGCACGACAUGGACCACGUCGGAGCGAUGCUGAGCCACGGUUAGAUCAAGAGGGGCGAUUUCGUACGUGACGUCAGUUACUUUACGCAAGACACGGUAAGGGCCAGAGUAGCGUGAAAGUAACUUCUCCGAGAGGCCAAUGCGUCAUGGACGUCACGAUGGCGGGCGACAUAUAAGCGCCGCUGAUUGUCCUGCGACUCCAAAAGUCGACGUCGGGCAAUAUGGCGUGCUUCUUGAGCUUUGAGUAUGGCUUCACGGGUGUACUCGGACGUGGAAUUCAGGCUAGCAGGCAGAAUGGUGUCGAAAGGUAGCGAGGGUCGCGGCCAAACAAGAGGAAGAAUGGAGAGAAGCCGGCGGUAUCAUGGCGAGACGAAUUAUAGGCGAAAGUAACGAACGGCAGCGCAACGUCCCAGUCGCGAUGGUCAGCGGAGACAUACAUGGACAGCAUGUCAGUAAGGGUGCGGUUAAGGCGCUCGGUUAGACCGUUCAUUUGUGGAUGGUAAGCAGUAGCAAGUUUGCAUUUAGUCGCGCACGAGUGCAGAAUGUCGUUGACAACUUUAGAAAGUAGCGGCCGCGGUCGGUGAGGAGCUGUCGAGGGGCGCCGUGGUGAAGGAUGACGUUCUCUAGGAGGAAUUCGGCGACAUCGGUUGCACAGCUUGUCGGAAGAGCCCGUGUGAUUGCAUAUCGGGUGGCGUAGUCUGUUGCUACAGCAAUCCACUUGUUUCCCAAAUCAGACAUAGGAAAAGAGCCUACAAGAUCAACACCUACACGGAAGAAUGGUUCUGAUGUGCCACAGCUGUGGCGAACCAAUCCCACUAUGUCUACUCAGCUAGACACCGAUGCUAAACCCAGAGAGCUAGCUCUACAUGCUACACGUGCAAGGUGCUGCACAUCUGGACGUGUUUGUCCACUGCACCAAAUACAAGAUACAUUGGAGUCUUUUGCCAAGCCCCAACUACUUCAGAGCAUUUCUCCAGUAGAGGAACCACAAGUGCCCAGCAUUGCUCAGGAGCAACACCUCAUUGUCUUCCUAAAUAAACAUUUUUUCUCAAA